AAGCUGUUGAGCGCAGCAGAGCUCGCAGAGUACUGUGGUGGACAACGUUUCUUUGUUCUCUGGCUUUCAAGUUUAAGGGGUGCUUGGACUAUCUUGCAUCGGUGGAUAUGAAAAUAGUGGUAACCUACCCUACGAAACAGCUAUUUGCACAUAAGCUUAACAGUUCCCUGUGAGAUGCUGUGAAAGUCAGCAGGGAAGUGCGAUGUAGAAGAAACGACUGCCAGAAGCUUGCUAAAGAACCGCACAACAUGUGUGAGCAGCAGACAAAAUAUUCAUCAAACGGUACAAAACUAGUAUUUUUGUGCUUUGUCGUUUUGAGACAUCCUUGGUAUUGUAUGGAGAACAGCGUGACUAUGUCAUUCCGUCUUACUUCACCCAAACAGCUAUCUGGUAGUAGUGCAAGAUUUGAGUUCCUAAAAGGUUUAUUCACUGAAGUCACCUCAGCGCCAUACUAUAGGUCCCUCAAUGUUUAGUCCUUGCAUUUGUUCGCUGC